GGACCGGUGGUGUAGUGGUAACAUAUUGUGCCCGAGCAUGAAGAGGAAUGGUUCGAUUCCCUCCCGGUCCG
rnacentral:tRNA from 1 species